AUGGUACGAUUGAAAAGUACAAGGCACGGCUUGUGGCCAAGGGUUAUACCCAGAAAGAAGGUGAAGACUUCUUUGAUACUUACUCACCCGUGGCUGACCAUAAUUCGGGUGCUACUAUCACUGGCUGCCUCACAUGGUCUUCUCGUUCAUCAAAUGGACGUUAACACGGCUUUCCUCAAUGGAGAAUUGAAGGAGAAAAUUUACAUGAAUCAGCCAGAUGGUUUUGUAGUACCUGGUCAGGAAGGAAAGGUGUGCAAGUUAUUAAAGUCUUUAUAUGGCCUUAAACAAGCUCCUAAGGAGUGGCAUGAGAAGUUCGAAAGAACAUUAACUGCUGCCGGCUUUGUAGUAAACGAUGGUGACAAGUGUGUGUACUAUCGCUAUGGUGGGGGCGAAGGAGUUAUUCUUUGUCUGUAUGUCGACGACAUAUUGAUCUUUGGAACCAAACUUGAUUUAAUCAAGAAGGUUAAGGAUUUCUUAUCUCGCUAUUUUGAGAUGAAGGAUCUAAGAGUAGCUGAUGUUAUCUUAAACAUCAAGCUGUUGAGAGAUGAGAAUGGUGGGAUCACACUGCUUCAGUCUCAGUAUGUGGAAAAGGUCUUGAGUCGUUUUGGGUAUAGCGACUGCACACCUUCUCCAACUCCAUAUGAUGCUACGAGUGCCACGAGGCCUGACAUCUCUUUUGAUGUGAGCAAGCUGAGUCGCUUUGUGUCAAAACCGGGAGAUGAUCAUUGGCAUGCGCUUCAGAGAGUUAUGCGCUAUUUGAAAGGCACCGCGAGCUAUGGGAUUCACUACACCGGGUAUCCAAGGGUACUGGAGGGUUACAGUGACUCAAACUGGAUUUCUGAUGCUGAUGAGAUAAAGGCCACAAGUGGUUAUGUUUUUACACUUUGUGGUGGCGCUGUUUCCUGGAAGUCUUGCAAGCAGACCAUCUUAACGAGGUCAACUAUGGAAGCAGAACUCAUAGCAUUGGACACUGCCACUGUUGAAGCAGAGUGGCUUCGUGAACUCUUGAUGGACUUACCUAUGGUUGAAAAACCAAUACCCCCUAUCCUGAUGAACUGUGAUAAUCAAACUGUGAUCGUCAAGAUAAACAGUUCGAAGGACAAUAUGAAGUCCUCAAGACAUGUGAAGAGGAGACUAAAAUCUGUCAGAAAAUUGAGGAACUCCGGAGUUAUUACGUUGGAUUAUAUCCAAACGUCGAAAAACUUGGCAGAUCCCUUCACAAAGGGUCUAUCACGUAAUGUGAUAGAUAAUGCAUCGAUGGAGAUGGGUUUGAGACCCACCGCAUGA
rnacentral:rRNA from 1 species